UACGAAGGGUGCAAGCGUUAAUCGGAAUUACUGGGCGUAAAGGGUGCGUAGGCGGUUGUUUAAGUCUGUCGUGAAAUCCCCGGGCUCAACCUGGGAAUGGCGGUGGAUACUGGAUAGCUAGAGUGUGUCAGAGGAUGGUGGAAUUCCCGGUGUAGCGGUGAAAUGCGUAGAGAUCGGGAGGAACAUCAGUGGCGAAGGCGGCCAUCUGGGACAACACUGACGCUGAAGCACGAAAGCGUGGGGAGCAAACAGG
rnacentral:rRNA from 1 species